UCCCGACGUGCACCGCGCGCGUCUGCGUCACUGCGGGCGACUGCUGCGAGAGGGGCGCGAGGGAGCCGGUUGCCGGGCAACGGGGCUAGGCCGCUCCCGGCAGUCAAGGACCCCCAGAGUCUUGGGUUUCCGGAGGAGGAGCGCGCGCCUGUAAGCUCCAGAAGGGUGGGAUCACAUCUCUAUUUACUCUUGACUGUGUCCCCAGUCCCUGGGAGAGUAGACACUUGAUAACAAGUAAUGGAUGCGUGAAAUCAACUUUUGAGGACAAGGAACAGCAAGGAUUCAUCUUUGAAAAUUUCAGCGCCUGCACAAUGAAUGGUUGCAUUUAAUGUGUGGAUAACUAAGAAAGCAGCGUAAAAAGAGAAUUCAUUCACUCACUCCCAAAUGUUCAAAGGGCUACCGUUUGCUGGGUAAUGCGGUAAGAGACUGAGGACAAGGACCACCUUGGUGAGCAAGAUUAAGGCUCACGGGCUGUAAAUCACAACGCUUCACACUUGAGCUCCAGGAGGGACCUGCAAGACGGCUGUGACCAAGAACUGUCCAUUCUCUCAGUGGUGUUUCUGAUGGCGCAGCAUCCCUCUGCAUUCUGCUGCAGGGAGCCGAAAAACCCGGCCGCAGGCAAGUGUGCCCCGUCUCCUGUAGGGAUGCACAUCAUCGUCCCACCGGGCAGUCUCAACACAAUUUUCCUUCUUCUUUUCCUGGUUCUGACCUCCUUAGUUAUACACUAGCUUCUGAUUACUUGCCUCAUUCUCUCCUUACUUGAUGAGUCAUUUGGGCAAUUCUCCUGCUUACCAAGCCCAGGCCUUCCCCCUCUCUCCCUCCCUUGUGGGUCCCCUUGGUUUAACGCAUUGGCAGCAUUAGAUUGCAGACAGUCCUGCUGGGGAAAGGUCGCCUUGCAACCGGCCCCAUUCUGUCAGCUCCCUCUGCAAAUCCCCUGGUAGCUGACUG